GUGUCAGCCGCCGCGGUAAUACGUAGAUGGCAAGCGUUGUCCGGAUUUAUUGGGCGUAAAGCGAGCGCAGGCGGUUCUUUAAGUCUGAUGUGAAAGACCCCAGCUCAACUGGGGAAGGUCAUUGGAAACUGGAGAACUUGAGUGCAGAAGAGGAGAGUGGAAUUCCAUGUGUAGCGGUGAAAUGCGUAGAUAUAUGGAGGAACACCAGUGGCGAAGGCGACUCUCUGGUCUGUAACUGACGCUGAGGCUCGAAAGCGUGGGGAGCAAACAGGAUUAGAUACCCUGGUAGUCCACGCCGUAAACGAUGAGUGCUAAGUGUUGGGGGGUUUCCGCCUCUCAGUGCUGCAGCUAACGCAUUAAGCACUCCGCCUGGGGAGUACGACCGCAAGGUUGAAACUCAAAGGAAUUGACGG
rnacentral:rRNA from 1 species